rnacentral:rRNA from 1 species
UACGAAGGGGGCUAGCGUUGCUCGGAAUCACUGGGCGUAAAGCGCACGUAGGCGGCUCCUUAAGUCAGGGGUGAAAUCCUGGAGCUCAACUCCAGAACUGCCUUUGAUACUGAGAAGCUUGAGUCCGGGAGAGGUGAGUGGAACUGCGAGUGUAGAGGUGAAAUUCGUAGAUAUUAGGAAGAACACCAGUGGCGAAGGCGGCUCACUGGUCCGGUACUGACGCUGAGGUGCGAAAGCGUGGGGAGCAAACGGG